UGGGGAAUAUUGGACAAUGGGCGAAAGCCUGAUCCAGCCAUGCCGCGUGUGUGAAGAAGGCCUUCGGGUUGUAAAGCACUUUUGUUGGGAAAGAAAUCCUGUCGGCCAAUACCCGGCGGGGAUGACGGUACCCAAAGAAUAAGCACCGGCUAACUUCGUGCCAGCAGCCGCGGUAAUACGAAGGGUGCAAGCGUUACUCGGAAUUACUGGGCGUAAAGCGUGCGUAGGCGGUUCGUUAAGUCUGUCGUGAAAGCCCUGGGCUCAACCUGGGAAUUGCGAUGGAUACUGGCGAGCUAGAGUACGGUAGAGGAUGGUGGAAUUCCCGGUGUAGCGGUGAAAUGCGUAGAGAUCGGGAGGAACACCCGUGGCGAAGGCGGCCAUCUGGACCAGUACUGACGCUGAGGCACGAAAGCGUGGGGAGCAAACA
rnacentral:rRNA from 1 species